UUCCAGACUCCUACGGGAGGCAGCAGUGGGGAAUAUUGGGCAAUGGGCGAAAGCCUGACCCAGCAACGCCGCGUGAAGGAAGAAGGCUUUCGGGUUGUAAACUUCUUUUGACAGGGAAGAGCAGAAGACGGUACCUGUCGAAUAAGCCACGGCUAACUACGUGCCAGCAGCCGCGGUAAUACGUAGGUGGCAAGCGUUGUCCGGAUUUACUGGGUGUAAAGGGCGUGUAGCCGGGCUGACAAGUCAGAUGUGAAAUCCUGCGGCUUAACCGCAGAACUGCAUUUGAAGCUGUUGAUCUUGAGUACUGGAGAGGCAGACGGAAUUCCUAGUGUAGCGGUGAAAUGCGUAGAUAUUAGGAGGAACACCAGUGGCGAAGGCGGCCUGCUGGGCUUUUACUGACGCUGAGGCUCGAAAGUGUGGGGAGCAAACAGGAUUAGAUACCCUAGUA
rnacentral:rRNA from 1 species